UGAGCAAUCUGCCCUUCUCUUCGGAAUAAGCGUUGGAAACGACGUCUAAUGCCGAAUACGACCUCCUUUCGCAUGAUCGGAGGUGGAAAGCUCCGGCGGAGAAGGAUGAGCUCGCGGCCUAUCAGCUAGUUGGUGUGGGUAAUGGCCCACCAAGGCGACGACGGGUAGCCGGCCUGAGAGGGUGACCCGGCCACACUGGGACUGAGACACGGCCCAGACCUCCGUACGGGGAGGNAGCG
rnacentral:rRNA from 1 species